CUGAGGAGAGCGGGUUGCAGAGUUGCCUUUGCAUUUCUAAAAUGAUUGGUGAGGGAGAGGCGAAUCCUCCAGCGCUUGCAUAAGCCUUGAUGAGAAGGGUCUGUGGACCAGUGUGCCGGGGCCAUUUAAGGCCCAAUAAUCCACAGGCUUUACUGGAGUCCAACUCAUUUAUGUCACGUGCUAUUGCUCACUACUGGAGGAAGCAGAAUGCUAAAACUGAAGAACUAAUGGCUGAUCUAAAGCUGGUGAAAUUAUACAAUAGAAAUAAAUUGUGUUUUCUGUUUGUGAACCAAGCCUGAUGUCUGUGUGAAGUCUUCUGAAAUAUAUACCAGGUGAGGCCUAAGAAGUCUUCCUGUCUGCAGAGAAGCCAGGCUGCUUAGGGGUUCAAGAUGAAGGAUCUUGCGGGGAGAGAAGGAAUCUGUCCCUAUUCUACUCUCUCUAUGUGGAGACCAGCUGGUCCAGUCACUGCGCAACCGGCAUCCUCAUUUGCUUUGCAAAGCACUCCUGGAAUGUAAAAGGUGCUAUAAGCAAAUCUAUGUCAACUUUGGUCUCCUGAAAAUGAACCAGAUGUGUUUUUCUGCAAUUCGUUUUGUUGGGUUUUUUUUGUCCCCUCGGCCCCUUCAUGGGGCCUGUUUUCGCUUGUGUAUUUGACCCCAUCAUCCACUGUCUAGAGAACCUUCAUCAACUGCAUUUUUUUUCUCUGAGCCAUUCAGUUUGUUGACCAAUGGACUUCCAGUUGGCAGCAACAAAUAGCAAACAGGCUUUAUUGAAUGUGUUGCUACCUUCUUCAUUUUCCAAUUAAAGGCAAAAGUUAAGAUAGUAUUCCUCCUACUCCUGCCUCUUAACAUAUGAGCUGGUACAACUGAUUCUGAUUACUCAGCUAUCUGCUAUAAGCAUGAAAAAGCAUAUUGUAUGCAUGGCUGCAGACACUUUAUAUUUUCUCCCCAGUCAGAUAAAAAAGUGAAUUGGCUAUAGGUCUGUCAAUAGAGACUAAUCAUGUGCAGUACUAUUAAUUAUGAAGGGUGUCAUUUUAGAACAAUUCUGGGCUGGGAAAGAACAGGCACAGGUUCAUUUCCCUC